rnacentral:rRNA from 1 species
UACAGAGGUCCCAAGCGUUGUUCGGAUUCAUUGGGCGUAAAGGGUGCGUAGGCGGCGCGGUAAGUCGGGUGUGAAAUCUCGGAGCUUAACUCCGAAACUGCAUUCGAUACUGCCGUGCUUGAGGACUGGAGAGGAGACUGGAAUUUACGGUGUAGCGGUGAAAUGCGUAGAUAUCGUAAGGAAGACCAGUGGCGAAGGCGGGUCUCUGGACAGUUCCUGACGCUGAGGCGCGAAAGCUAGGGGAGCAAACAGG